rnacentral:rRNA from 1 species
GCGGCGUGAGUGAUGAGGCCUUCGGGUUGUAAAGCUCUGUUGUUAGGGAAGAACCUGACGGUACCUAACUGCCAGUACCUUGACGGUUCCUUGCCAGAAAGCCCGGCUAACUACGUGCCAGCAGCCGCGGUAAUACGUAUGUGGCAAGCGUUAUCCGGAAUUAUUGGGCGUAAAGCGUGUGCAGGCGGUUUUUUAAGUCUGAUGUGAAAUCCCCGGGCUCAACCUCUAAAGUGCAUUGGAGACUGGGGGACUUGAGUGCGUAACAGGGAAGUGGAAUUCCAUGUGUAGCAGUGAAAUGCGUAAAGAUGUGGAGGAACACUGUGGUGAAGGCGGCUUUCUGGUCUGUGGCUGACGCUCAGGAUCGAAUGCGUGGGGAGCAAACACGAUUAAAUACCCUGGUAGUCCACGCCGUAAAC